rnacentral:rRNA from 1 species
UGAGGCGGGCUGGAACCUCUCGGGGUUACAGCCUUGCUGAAUUAUUCACCCUUGUCUUUUGCGUACUUCUUGUUUCCUUGGUGGGUUCGCCCACCACUAGGACAAACAUAAACCUUUUGUAAUUGCAAUCAGCGUCAGUAACAAAUUAAUAAUUACAACUUUCAACAACGGAUCUCUUGGUUCUGGCAUCGAUGAAGAACGCAGCGAAAUGCGAUAAGUAGUGUGAAUUGCAGAAUUCAGUGAAUCAUCGAAUCUUUGAACGCACAUUGCGCCCUUUGGUAUUCCAAAGGGCAUGCCUGUUCGAGCGUCAUUUGUACCCUCAAGCUUUGCUUGGUGUUGGGCGUCUUGUCUCUAGCUUUGCUGGAGACUCGCCUUAAAGUAAUUGGCAGCCGGCCUACUGGUUUCGGAGCGCAGCACAAGUCGCACUCUCUAUCAGCAAAGGUCUAGCAUCCAUUAAGCCUUUUCCCCCACUUUUGACCUCGGAUCAGGUAGGGAUACCCGCUGAACUUAAGCAUAUCAAUAAGCGGAGGAA